rnacentral:ncRNA from 2 species
UCUAUAUAGUGGUGCUUCGGUUCUUCCGGGAUGCCCUGGGAGCUGAGAGGGAAGCCGGUGAAAAUCCGGCGCUGCCCCCGCAACUGUUAGUGGUGAGCAAUGCCGGAAAAGCCACUGGGACAAGGGUCCUGGGAAGGUCGGCGGCGCGUGAAGCCACGAGUCAGGAGACCUGCCGCAAGCAUGGAAUAACC